GAUGAACGCUGGCGGCGUGCCUAAUACAUGCAAGUCGAGCGAACGGACGAGAAGCUUGCUCCUCUGAUGUUAGCGGCGGACGGGUGAGUAACACGUGGAUAACCUACCUAUAAGACUGGGAUAACUUCGGGAAACCGGAGCUAAUACCGGAUGAUAUUUUGAACCGCAUGGUUCAAAAGUGAAAGACGGUUUUGCUGUCACUUAUAGAUGGAUCCGCGCUGCAUUAGCUAGUUGGUAAGGUAACGGCUUACCAAGGCGACGAUGCAUAGCCGACCUGAGAGGGUGAUCGGCCACACUGGAACUGAGACACGGUCCAGACUCCUACGGGAGGCAGCAGUAGGGAAUCUUCCGCAAUGGGCGAAAGCCUGACGGAGCAACGCCGCGUGAGUGAUGAAGGUCUUCGGAUCGUAAAACUCUGUUAUUAGGGAAGAACAUAUGUGUAAGUAACUGUGCACGUCUUGACGGUACCUAAUCAGAAAGCCACGGCUAACUACGUG
rnacentral:rRNA from 1 species